rnacentral:lncRNA from 1 species
GAAAAUAACAUAUCUGAUCUAUGAUCUAAAAUUACUAAAGACAAUUUAUGUUUUCACAAAUAUUGUUGAUGUCAUUAUACUACCCGUUUUCGUGUUCUUAUCGAUAGAUCUAUAGCAUAAAAAACAAAAGAAGCGAAAAAGAUGUUAAAACAUGAAAAAGAGCAAACAAAAGGUUAUAUUCAAACUUACAUUUGUAAUUUUGUUUUACUACUAUU